ensembl:lncRNA
GGGCAAAGGCAGUUCAGUUUCAGAUGCAGAGCAGCGGGAAGCAGCUGGGCUCACUUUCGCUAACAGAUUUUGGCGCCAACGUGAGGCUGUGCUCUCGCGAUAUCUGGCUCCUGGGGGUUUCUCCAUUGGUGCUGCUGCCGUGACGACGUGCUAGGAAGGCUGUGAGGAGCCUCGCUGGCCCCAGGAAGAGGUUUGGGGAGGAUAUUCCUAGCAGCUGCCUAAAGCAUUGGUUUCGGGGGUCCUUCCUGCUUCUCCUCUGCUCAGCACUGGCUGCCCAUAUGUGCUUUUCCUUGGUGGAAUGAGAAGACACCUCUGGACAAGCUGACGAGCUCCCAGACCCACUCCACAACUAAGGAUCUAAAGCAGCAAAGAAAGUUAGAAGGCUAAGAAGGCUAUCUACUAGAGAAACUUUCGAGGUUGCAAAAUGGUUCAACUGCCAGCACCUUUUGGGAAAGUCACUGAAUUAUAUACAAAGAGUUUAACACCGAAGAGUUUAAGACCUAAGCAUCAAGAUGAAACAAAGUUCUUCAUUGUGACAUCAAGAUUCUUUGUUGCUGCAUGCAGGCUUUCUCUAGCUGUGGUCUCUGGGCUUCCCUGGCUGUGGAGCACAGGCUUCCAUGUGAGCAGGCUCAGCAGUUGCUGCUCUCAGGCCUCUCCAGUUGUGGCACACAGGCUCUCUACGUGUAGUUCUGGCACUGGGGUGAAGAUGUGCCUCUGUUGGGAGACUUCCCUGCUGGUCCAGUGGCUAAGACUCUGCGCUCCCAAUGCAGGGUCUCGGGUUGGAUCCCUAGUCAGGAAACUAGACCCCACGUGCCUCAAC